UACGGGGGGAGCAAGCGUUGUUCGGAUUUACUGGGCGUAAAGGGCGCGUAGGCGGCCACGACAAGUCACUUGUGAAAUCUCCGGGCUUAACUCGGAACGGUCAAGUGAUACUGUCGGGCUAGAGUACAGAAGGGGCAACUGGAAUUUUCGGUGUAGCGGUGAAAUGCGUAGAUAUCGAGAGGAACACCUGCGGCGAAGGCGGGUUGCUGGGCUGAUACUGACGCUGACAGCGCGAAAGCCAGGGGAGCAAACGGG
rnacentral:rRNA from 1 species